UUCUGUGUGGCGCAAUGGUAGCGCGAUAGACUUCUAAUCUAUAGGCUGCGGGUUCAAGUCCCGUCACAGAAA